ACAUCUUCAUAGAAUUAUAGUUUUACCAUGACGUCUACAAUAAAUGGGCUGUUUCAGUCUCUUAUCUUAGAAUUAGCUUGUCUAGAGCGAAGGCUUGACCUACUCUAAAGUGCAUCUUAAUAUUAGUGUCUCAAGGUUGAAAUCAGAUUGAAUGAAGGUUGAGUCUUUCCUUUCUAAUCUAACUUCCUUCUUUGGCGCGUGCUUAUCUUAUUGUCUUGGUUUUCUUGGAUGCAUGUAUCAAUAUUGU
rnacentral:lncRNA from 1 species